UACGUAGGUGGCGAGCGUUAUCCGGAAUGAUUGGGCGUAAAGGGUGCGUAGGUGGCAGAUCAAGUCUGGAGUAAAAGGUAUGGGCUCAACCCGUACUUGCUUUGGAAACUGAUCAGCUAGAGAACAGAAGAGGACGGCGGAACUCCAUGUGUAGCGGUAAAAUGCGUAGAUAUAUGGAAGAACACCGGUGGCGAAGGCGGCCGUCUGGUCUGGAUUCUGACACUGAAGCACGAAAGCGUGGGGAGCAAAUAGG
rnacentral:rRNA from 1 species